CCGCCACUAGCUCAUCAGGAAGAGCGACAACCAUGGUGUUGUAGUACGAGGUUCGAGGCCCCGGUGGCGGUCCA
rnacentral:tRNA from 1 species